rnacentral:misc_RNA from 1 species
ACUGAAUUUAUAAUCUCAGUUCUCUCUGUCAUUUCGGCCUAAUUUGUUUCUGAGAUUGGUUAUGGCACGAGACAAAGGAAAAGUGAAAGCCAAAAUCACCACAUACUCAUCAUCAAACUCAACUGACGCAAGUAUCCCUGCGUCACCUCCUCCACAAAAAGAUGCUCCUCUGGUAAUUGGUAAACCAAAAGAAACAACCAAGAAAAGAACAAGCGAGCCAGUCCAAGAAAAGGGAACCAAAAAGAAA